CCUUCCGUAGGGUAACCUGCGGAGGGAUCAUUACCGAGUUUACAACUCCCAAACCCAAUGUGAACGUUACCAAUCUGUUGCCUCGGCGGGAUUCUCUGCCCCGGGCGCGUCGCAGCCCCGGAUCCCAUGGCGCCCGCCGGAGGACCAACUCAAACUCUUUUUUUCUCUCCGUCGCGGCCUACGUCGCGGCUCUGUUUUAUUUUUGCUCUGAGCCUUUCUCGGCGACCCUAGCGGGCGUCUCGAAAAUGAAUCAAAACUUUCAACAACGGAUCUCUUGGUUCUGGCAUCGAUGAAGAACGCAGCGAAAUGCGAUAAGUAAUGUGAAUUGCAGAAUUCAGUGAAUCAUCGAAUCUUUGAACGCACAUUGCGCCCGCCAGUAUUCUGGCGGGCAUGCCUGUCCGAGCGUCAUUUCAACCCUCGAACCCCUCCGGGGGGUCGGCGUUGGGGAUCGGCCCCUCACCGGGCCGCCCCCGAAAUACAGUGGCGGUCUCGCCGCAGCCUCUCCUGCGCAGUAGUUUGCACACUCGCACCGGGAGCGCGGCGCGGCCACAGCCGUAAAACACCCCAAACUCUGAAAUGUUGACCUCGGAUCAGGUAGGAAUACCCGCUGAACUUAAGCAUAUCAAUAAGCGGAGGAA
rnacentral:sRNA from 1 species